rnacentral:lncRNA from 1 species
CUCUCUGCUCUGGUUCCUCUUCUUUCUUCUCCUACUCAUCCAUCCUCCUGUUCCUCCCACGAUCAUGUUGAUCAUCCCAUUGGGGCCGUCAUUCACAGGUUUUGCCUCCUAUCUACGAGGUCUCUCCACCACCGCUCUGCUGAGGUUUCUCUGCCUUCCGUUUUUUCAUGAAGUUCCUGAGGUGCCCUCUUUUAAUGAG